GAUGAACGCUGUUGGCGUGCCUAAUACAUGCAAGUCGAGCGAACGGACGAGAAGCUUGCUUCUCUGAUGUUAGCGGCGGACGGGUGAGUAACACGUGGAUAACCUACCUAUAAGACUGGGAUAACUUCGGGAAACCGGAGCUAAUACCGGAUAAUAUUUUGAACCGCAUGGUUCAAAAGUGAAAGACGGUCUUGCUGUCACUUAUAGAUGGAUCCGCGCUGCAUUAGCUAGUUGGUAAGGUAACGGCUUACCAAGGCAACGAUGCAUAGCCGACCUGAGAGGGUGAUCGGCCACACUGGAACUGAGACACGGUCCAGACUCCUACGGGAGGCAGCAGUAGGGAAUCUUCCGCAAUGGGCGAAAGCCUGACGGAGCAACGCCGCGUGAGUGAUGAAGGUCUUCGGAUCGUAAAACUCUGUUAUUAGGGAAGAACAUAUGUGUAAGUAACUGUGCACAUCUUGACGGUACCUAAUCAGAAAGCCACGGCUAACUACGUGCCAGCAGCCGCGGUAAUACGUAGGUGGCAAGCGUUAUUCCGGAAUUAUUGGGCGUAAAGCGCGCGUAGGCGGUUUUUUAAGUCUGAAGGUGAAAGCCCACGGUUCAACCGGUGAAGGGUCAUUUGAAACUGGAAAAACUGAGUGCAGAAGAGGAAAGGUGAAUUUCCAUGUGUAGCGGGUGAAAAUGCGCCAGAGAUAUGGGGGAACCCCAGUGGCGAAGGCGACUUUCUGGUCUGUAACUGACGCUGAUGUGCGAAAGCGUGGGGAUCAAACAGGAUUAGAUACCCUGGUAGUCCACGCCGUAAACGAUGAGUGCUAAGUGUUAGGGGGUUUCCGCCCCUUAGUGCUGCAGCUAACGCAUUAAGCACUCCGCCUGGGGAGUACGACCGCAAGGUUGAAACUCAAAGGAAUUGACGGGGACCCGCACAAGCGGUGGAGCAUGUGGUUUAAUUCGAAGCAACGCGAAGAACCUUACCAAAUCUUGACAUCCUUUGACAACUCUAGAGAUAGAGCUUUCCCCUUCGGGGGACAAAGUGACAGGUGGUGCAUGGUUGUCGUCAGCUCGUGUCGUGAGAUGUUGGGUUAAGUCCCGCAACGAGCGCAACCCUUAAGCUUAGUUGCCAUCAUUAAGUUGGGCACUCUAAGUUGACUGCCGGUGACAAACCGGAGGAAGGUGGGGAUGACGUCAAAUCAUCAUGCCCCUUAUGAUUUGGGCUACACACGUGCUACAAUGGACAAUACAAAGGGCAGCGAAACCGCGAGGUCAAGCAAAUCCCAUAAAGUUGUUCUCAGUUCGGAUUGUAGUCUGCAACUCGACUACAUGAAGCUGGAAUCGCUAGUAAUCGUAGAUCAGCAUGCUACGGUGAAUACGUUCCCGGGUCU
rnacentral:rRNA from 1 species